CUUGGUUGCAAUGGAUAUGUGAGCUUAGCACUAAUUUUAAUUGCGGCUGCCACUCCUAAUGCCACCAUCCCAGUUAUAAUUGAAGAAAAUCCUGUAUAAUAAGCAUAACACCAAUUUUACUGCCUGUUCCUCUGAGUUGGUACUUCUUGAGCAGUGAUGUCUAUGGUUGUGUAGUGAAACUCUAUGGCUGCCAUUCUCUGCAGUUUCUGCCCAUCUUCUGCCAGAAAAGAAGUGCUCAACAGACGUGCGGUGACAGAUGGAGCUAUUUUCAGCAAACAAAUCAACAGUCAUAAAGAGGUCCUAGUUGUUCUUAGAUAUUAUUGAUCAUGCCAUCAUGCCAUCAUUUAUAUAAAUUGCUGACUUUUAUUUAGAAUUUUGCUGUAAGACGGAAUGAGAGGCAUCUGGUCCCCACAAUAAAAAAAGGCAGGAACGACAUGUGUAACGUAAAGCUUCAGCCCACAGCACUACAUGGGCUGCCGGCUGUGAUUGUCCAGGAAAUAGACGGCAUGAUUGCUGUCUGGACGUUGUGCCCUCGGAAUCCGAAAUUCUCAAUCGAUCUACCGAGUACACGUGCAUCAAGUGUGGGCCUUCAACUACGCCAACACGAGGACGCUUAUAACUACUCGAGCAUCUAUACAGCUGUUGCAGUCCCUGUUGCAGUUUCCUCGACGUUCCUCGAGCAUGACGAUGCAAAGCAAGUCGCCGACUAUGAUCAGAACGUCAAGAUCCCAUGCUGGCGACAUCAUCAGGAUUUCAAAUUUCAUUUCAUAUGAUAACUGUAAAAGGUAAUUAUAUAUUUUUUAAUUGUAACGUAUGGCGUAGAGACGCCCAACAAAGAGCUAGUGUUGACGCUUUGAUUUAGUGCUGAUUUAGUGCUGACGUACGAUUUGCUACGCUUAUCAAUACCAAUAAAUCUUUCGCUGAAUCGCUGGUCACUAGGUGACGGAGGGUUGUUCGUGAGUGACGAAAUUCCGCCAUUUUUUUGCUGCUACAUGUGAGAUGUCAAAUGAGUAUCUCCGACAUGGCAACUACAGUUCGCAAUUAUGGGCAAAUAUUCUUACUUUUUGGAUUUAGUUAUGUAUCAAACCCAUAUUUAUCUUUUUGUUAGUAGCUAGUUAUUAUUGAUUAUUAAUGUGGAAAUUAAUUUCUCACCAUAGCGUUAACCAUAGCGUCGUGCUGGUGUUGGGUGUUGUAUCGUUGAUGGCUGAGUCGACCACGAGUGUACCGAUGUCUCUUGGGUAUGGUGGAUACUAAGCAUCAGCUGCAAAAGAAUACUACACCACGUCGGCGCCUUUCUACUCAACAAUGUCAACAUACGCAACACCCACAACACCCACUUACUAAACGGCCCCCAAAUUACUACACCACCUAGGCUCCAGAGUAUUGCAAGAAGUAUUACUCUGCCCCGAGUUCCAUCACCAAAGCGCCCGAGUACUACACUUAGGCUGGGUCGACCACUGGUGUACCGAUGUCUUCUUGGUAUGGUGGAUACCAAACCGCAACGCCGCCGCCUUACUACUCAAAAGCAACUUACGCAACGACUAGUUACUACGCCGAGGCCCUUGAGUACUACACCACUAAGGCACUGAAGUAUUGUACCACAACUUACGCUGCCCCGAGCUACUACACCGACGCCUCUGCGUAUAAAGAGUCGUCUAAUAAAAAAGUCGUAUAAAAGGAAAGAGAAAAGGAAGUAGAAAUCAGUCGAGUGAGGAUCUCCGACACGUCAAAAACUGCAGUGUACUGUCACCAACUGCAUUCCUCAUCGUGUAACUAAAUCGCAGUCAUGGCAGGUACAAUUGCCGCGCUGCUCGAGUUGAAAGGUGAAUCAGGAGAAGGAAAAACUUAUUAAACGAAAGAGAAAUGUCGAUAGAAGUCAGUCGAAUGAGAAUCUCCGACAUGGCAACAACCAGUUCGCAAUUAUGGUUAACCAUAGCGUCGUGCUGCUGUUGGGUGUUGUAUGGUUGAUAGUUGAUAGUUGGGACGGCCACUGGUUUACCGAUGUCUCCUUGGUAUGGCGGAUAUCAAACCGCAACGCCGCUGCCUUACUACACAGCAACAACUUACGUUACUACCAGUUACUACACCGAGGCCGUCAAGUACUACACCACUAAGGCAUCGGAGUAUUAUACCAUAACUAACGCGGCCCCGAAGUAUUACUCUGCCCCGAGCUACACCACCAAGGUACCGGAGUACUACACGAAUACGUAUGCUGCCCCAACCUACUACACCGAGGCUCCCAAGUGCAACUCUGUCCUCAGCUACUUACUGCACCAAUCCUAAGUACUACUUUGUUCCCAUCUACUACACCGAAGCUCUAGCUUAUUACACCCUCGAAGCGGUCUACUGUUACACCGAAGCGCCUAAGUACUACACUGCAACCUACGCUGCACCACGGAGCCAUCGGAAUACUUGAUCAUAAGCUAGCCUACUACACCGCCCCGAUCUACACAACCACAUCUGAGCCGGCCAAGUAUUGUUAUACAGCGCCUUCAAUUUUCUAGUAAGGUGGCAGUGUCUUAUGUUAAGGGUUUUGAAUUGGAAUAAUCCUGAAAGUGUUCUGUUCAGUACUGGUUCUGUUGCAGCCUAUGCCGAUGAAAGAAAUUUUGUAUUUUGUUAACUUCAUAUUAUGUACAGUUUAGAAAAGUUAAUUAACUGUUAUUAAACGUUUAUAUGUAAAGAAGGAAAAAAA
rnacentral:lncRNA from 1 species